GCUAUCAUGCAGGCGAGGGCGCAGCAAUGUGACCGCCGUUACGGGUGCGUAACGCGCUAUGCAACCUACCCAUCACAGGGGGACAGCCCAUGGAAACGUGGAUUAAUACCGCAUAAAGCAGGGGCACCGCAUGGUGAUACUGCUAAACAUUUAUGGGUGAUGGAUGGGCAUGCGUCUGAUUAGCUAGUUGGUAGGGUAACGGCCUACCAAGGCGAUGAUCAGUAGGGGAGCUGAGAGGUUUUUCCCCCACACGGGCACUGAGAUACGGGCCCGACUCCUACGGGAGGCAGCAGUAGGGAAUAUUGGGCAAUGGGUGCAAGCCUGACCCAGCCAUCCCGCGUGCCGGAUGAAGGCCCUCUGGGUCGUAAACGGCUUUUGACGGUGAAGAACCGAAAGGGUGCGCCCUUUUUUGACGGUAGCCGUUGAAUAAGCACCGGCUAACUCCGUGCCAGCAGCCGCGGUAAUACGGAGGGUGCGAGCGUUGUCCGGAUUUAUUGGGUUUAAAGGGUGCGUAGGCUGGAAGGACAGUCAGCGGUGAAAAGCAGUUGCUCAACAAUUGUCUUGCCGCAGAUACUACCUUUCUUGGAUUGGGAGGAGGUUACCGGAACGGAUGGUGUA
rnacentral:rRNA from 1 species